GGCGGCGGCCUCCCUCAGUCCCCGCCCUAAACUGGCUGCCGCCCGCGCGCCCGCCCGGCUGCCCUCUUCCCUCCCUCCCGUCUCUGCCCAGCCACAUCUUGCACAGCCUCGCGCCCCGAGGGACCAUGUCGAGGAUCAGCUGGGGAUACGGGGAGCACAACGGUCCUAUUCAUUGGAAUCAGUUCUUCCCCAUUGCUGAUGGAGAUAAGCAAUCCCCUAUUGAAAUUAAAACCAAAGAAGUGAAAUAUGACUCUUCCCUCCGACCUCUUAGUAUCAAGUAUGACCCAAGCUCAGCUAAAAUCAUCAGUAAUAGUGGUCAUUCCUUCAACGUUGACUUUGAUGACACAGAAGACAAAUCAGUUCUGCGUGGGGGCCCUCUCACUGGAAACUACAGGUUACGACAGUUUCACCUUCACUGGGGUUCUGCUGAUGAUCAUGGCUCUGAGCACGUGGUGGAUGGAGUGAGAUAUGCUGCAGAGCUCCAUGUGGUUCACUGGAACUCAGACAAGUACCCCAGUUUUGUUGAAGCAGCUCAUGAACCAGAUGGACUAGCUGUUUUGGGAGUGUUUUUACAGAUUGGUGAAUAUAAUUCCCAACUGCAAAAGAUUACUGACAUUUUGGAUUCCAUUAAAGAAAAGGGAAAACAAACUCGAUUCACAAAUUUUGACCCAUUAUCUCUGCUUCCACCAUCCUGGGACUACUGGACGUACCCUGGUUCUCUGACAGUUCCACCCCUUCUUGAGAGUGUCACAUGGAUCGUUUUAAAGCAACCUAUAAAUAUCAGCUCUCAACAGGUAAUUUUCUUGGCUAAACAUGAGCUGCAAAAAAAUUUUUUUUCUUGUGCCACAGCUCUGGUCUCAGUUCAGGUGAUCUGCCUGGCGUCUAUUCCCUGCAUGCAUGGUUUAUAGCUCAUUCAGAGACAUGAAUAGAGAGGUGUGCCUGUUGCAGCUGUGUGCACCUUACAGGCUGUGCUCAGCUCCAGGCUCAAAGUUAAAGAGACAAGAUUUUACUUGUAGUGCUUCCAUCUCUCCUUCAAGCGAGCAUGAACUCUUCACCGGGGACCCUCUUCAUCUGUUCAUUCUUCAGUAUCUCUAACUCAUUGCUUCUUGUAUUAUGUAUGAGCUUAUACCUAUUUUCUACAAGGACAUUUUCUGCAGGAUUUUAGUUUGAUAUACCUGGAAGCAAAACCCGGAUGGCUUUUUUUCAAAUAAUAAAAUGUUAUGGUUUGUAAUUAAUGAUAUUUAAUGAUCUAGGAGUGAUUUCCUUUACUUCUGCAUCUCUAGACUAUAUGUAAGAUGAGGGAAGAAUUCAUUUAUCUCAAUAUUAAUUUCAGCCUACCAUGUAAACUUUGUAUCAUCAAUUUUAGAAUUAAAUUUCUAAUUUGUAGAGGACUGUACAAGUCACUUCUAGGAUUGUGCUACAGUUCUGAUAUGGUUUGAGUGUGAACUUCAAAGGUUAAUGUGCUGGAAGCUUGGUCCCAGUAUGGCAGUGUUGCUUAUUUUUACUCUUACUCAAUUUUGGCAGGCAGUAGAGUACUAUUAAAAAUGCUUGAGCAUGAGCAUGACCAAAAGUUAUUUACAGUACUAUUGGGAAAGAAUAUUUCAGCUUACUGGGGUUAUUCCACAAGGAAAUUAGAAAUUCAGUGGUUAGAGCCAAGGAAACCAGCAAAACAGGUCCUACUUACCUCAGCCUCAAGGUUUAACCAGGGACGCUGCUGCCAGGAACAGUGUAGAUGCUGUCAGCCUUAGUGACAGAGAGGUCAGGUUUUCUGCGUGAGUGCAGUUUGGAGUCACCUGAGAGAGUGAGAUGGGGAGACACCAGCUGGUGAUGCACUUUGCAAGGUCAGUGCUGUGGCAGAGGACAUCUGAGCUAGCAGGAGCAAAUACAAGCAGGGACUGGCAGCUGGCCAAAUUCCGCAGUCUUCUGUGUUCAGCCGAGGGUGAAUCAGCAGCUUUUUUGUUGAGCAAUCACCGUCCACCACAGCCUCUGAAGGGUCGCAAAGUGAGAGCUUCCUUUCAUUAAAUGUUGCCCCCAGCGGACCACCCAGACUGUGGAGAGCACCUGAGCAAAACAAAACAAAUCAAAACACAAAAAUCCCUACCAACAGUUCCUAGAAUUCUAAUUAUUGGGUGUUACUUUACUAUCAGCUUCAGCACCACAAAGAGAACCAGAUUUCUUUAAUUAAACUACUUGAAAUCAUGUUUCUUAGAUUUGCAUUUACAGAUAUUCAAGCAGUAAACAUUGUUUGGCAUAUAUUGAAACUCAUGAAAUACGUCUGCUUCAACCUGCCUGGAAACGGGGCCUACAUUGCCAGCGUCAGAAUGUGUUCAGGUUUUUACCUUAGAUGCUGACAUAGUCACAGCUCUCCGUGCUGUUAAGUGAAAAGCAAAUACUCAUUCUCCAAAUGAAAUAAUUGUGAUAUAUUUUUCUAAACAAGUCAGUCUACAUAAAAAAAGAUAUUAUUUCCUUUUGAAGUGAACUUCUGCCACGAUUAUGCUGCGGAUUCUGAUUGCAUGGUAUCUUUUAUAAAGUGAGUAAUAUGAGAGUUCUGAGGGAUGAGAUAUAGUUACUUCUUGUGUUUAUUCCACAAAUCAUUGAUCCAUGAAGUUUUGAUAAGGAAUUCCUCAGGAUAGAAAUGAUUAUUUACACUAUAAUGAAUUAUGUCAUAUAUCAUAUUUACUUUGUAUUGUCAGUUGGCUAAUAAUUGACAGGAUGCAGUCCUUGCCAAUUUAUAGCAUAAACACAAUUUGAAACUAACAGCUUAGCCAGUGUUAGUGCAGGCAGACCUGCCUUCGGGCAUAAAGAAUGAAUUGCCUACUUUUGUCCUGUGUUUUGGCAACAGAGCAAUCCUGUGUUGGAAAUUUUUCUGUCAACUGGUGGAAAAAACUCAAUUGAGUCUCAUAUAAAAAUACAAUCAUUCUCCUGUCUCUCCCUCUCUCUGUCACUCUGACUUUCAAAAAAAUAAAAUGUAUCUUUUUAAAAAAUAUCAUCAGUUCAUAAAUCCGUCAAUCCAUUUCCUUGGCAUAGCCCUUUUCUCCUUUUGUACAUGUCCCUCAAUGUCUUAAGCAGUUUUGUAAUGGGGUGCUCAACGUUAGUUUUAAUCUAUUAUCUUUUCUUUAUUUGUCUUUCUGUUUUGAGUGAAGGAGGAUGAGGCUGGUUUUCCUUUUGCCCUCUCUGAUACAAAUGGAGUAGCACUAAGCACUAACUUCAUUACCACAUUUGAGACUGGAACAUGUGUAAUACUUACAUCAUCCAUCUGUGUUUCCUAGAUUGUGAUGAUUUGUUUCAGAUAUUUUUCUUCCUUUGGAUGUCAGUGUUAACAAUUCAUGUUUUCUCUGCGGCAAAAAAUAACAUACAUGAAGGAUCUCUGUGAGUGAGACCCCAUUGGAAAGAAGGGGCUAUCAAAGAAGGAUGUACUUUUCUCUGAAGGGAGGAGAGAACUUCCACUUUGCAUAUGACGCUGUCUAAAUAACUACGGAGUUUGUAGACUCAAAAGGCCAUAGCCUUGGCAGCUCUUGUCAAGAGCUUCGGGUGGUCACUGAUGUCAAAAAUAAGAGUUGUUAAUUGUUAAGUCAACAACAAGAGUCAUUGUGCACUUAAUCCCCAUGUUAGACCUCUGUCCUUAGUGAGGUGUACUAUGAGAAUUAAUGGUAAAACCUGUAUUCAAACAGUACUUUAUAUUUUGUGUGUUUGUGUGGGUGCAAACAAUGGAAAUCUCUACUUAGUAUAGAGUUGGUCUUCUGUAUAUAAAGUGAAUUAAAAACGAAUCUUAAUGAAAAAUGGAAUGGGAGGGGGAGUAGGAGGUGGGAUGUGAGUGGGGGUGGGAGGGUGGAAUGGGGGGAAGAAACACUACAUCCCUAAAAGUUGUACAUAUGAAAUUUGUAGUCAUUAAAUAAAAACCUUAAAAAAGCAAUUCAUGUUUCUGUAAUAUUUUUCUUGAUAGAAUGUUGAGUACCAUGAAAUUCUGCAAUAAUAAUGUAUAUUGCUGUGUAAGGAACUCAUGAAGAUUAAAGCUGAUAUUUUGGUCAUUGUUAUUUUCCCAUCACUCUUUCUAUGUUGAGACAUUGCUGAAGAUUGAUACAUAAUAAAUAUUUAGUUAACUGAAUAUUUUAAAAUUUAUAAUUGCUAUCUUUAAUAAGUAUUGAAUAUAAGGAGUGUUUCUUAUUAGUACUUAUUGUAAGAGGUUUAAUAUGUAUUAUUUGAAGAAGAAACACUUUUGAAGAGAUAAUAUUUUAAUUAUUGUAUUAAUUCAUAUAUAGUGCAUUUGAUCUCAGAGAGGUAACUAACAAACCUAACUUUUGUAAUCAGAAGUUUUAAUGGUUUUAAAAAUACCAGUGUUGCAUGAGAAGGCAUUUAUUUAGUUUGUGAAGAUACCUUGCAAAGUAUCCUAGUGAGGGAAAGCAGCCUUUUUUCUCAGAGAACUUAAGUAAUUCUAGCUGGAGGGGUGUGUAGGAUGGGGAUUCUAUUAGCAUAUGUGACAGUUACCACUUUGUAACUAACGGUUUCUGCUGCAGUAUUGCAUUGGUUCUGUGGUACAGAUUGCACCACAGUGGACUAAAAAAUUGUGCAAGGUGCUUAUUUCCAUGAUUUUUAAUUUAUAUAUCUCUUAAAAGUAUGAUGCCUGAAUGUAUGAUAAAAUUAUUAUAUUGUCCCUUUUUGAAAAAUCAGAUAUGGGGGCCAGCAUUGUGGCAUAACAAGUUAAGCUGUGGCCUUUAGUGCCAGCAUCCCAUAUGGUUGCUGGUUUGAGUGCCGGCUGCUACAUUUUCCAUCUAGCUCCCUGUUAAUGUGCCUGGAAAAGCAGCAGAUGAUGGCCCAAGUGCUUGGGCUCCUGAAUCCAUGUGGGACUCUGGGACGAAAGUCCUGACUCCUGCCUAUGGUCUGUCUCAGCCCUGGCUUUUGUAGCCAUUUGGGGAGUGAACCAGCAGAUGGAAGAUCUCUCUCUCCCUCUGCCUGUCCAUCUCUGUAACUCUGCCUUCCAAAUAAAUAAAUAAAUCUUAAAAAGCUUAAAAAUUUAAAGAGUUAUAAAUGGUGGUUUAGAUUUCUUUUGUUUCCCACAAUAUCUAUUGGUUUUAUGUCUGUUAAAUAUUUUGUAUGUCAAUGUAUAUUGGAUUCAAACACAAUAAACAAAAUGAGAUGAA